CUGGGGUUUUUGGAUUAAUGUUAGAAAGAGAAAGAGGAAACAGUGGUGAUGGUGUGAAGGGAGAAAUUAAUGAAAGUGGGGUUAAAAUGUUCUAUGCAUUGAUGACCAUUACACAGAGGGGUACUUUGGAUUAUGUAGUGAUAAAAGGCCUUUGAUAUAUCACAGUCCAAGUCAGGCUCUCUCUCUAUCUUUCUAUCUCUCUCCUUUAAGCUUUUUGCAGCUGCAGUGCUUUCAAAAGCAAAAAAAAACCUGAAAAAUGGCAGCCACACCCUGCAAAGAAAAGUACAAAAGAAAAAGAAAAAAAUUAAAAUUAGAAGAUAAGGUAAAAAAAAAGCAUCUGAUGCUUCAAAUUAUGCAUUUAACAAAACUCCAUUUAAAAAUUUUAACCACACACAACAGUUUCAAGGUUGAAAACCAUGGGAUGAGUGAGAGAUCUUACUUACUGCCUACUGCUAUAUUAUAUGUUGUUUAACUCUACCUAAAGUGUUUCAAAGUCGAUAAGCCUUUAACAGAAGUUGAAAACGGAAAAGCUACUUGAAUUGUAAUUACAUUGCAGCAGCUAAUAUAUAUAUAUAUACCUUGAAUCUGACAGUAAACCUCUUUUCAGCUUCACAAUUAAGCUAAAGAGAAAAGACAGUAAUUACUGUACAAUUUGGUGAAGAACUGAAAAAAAAAAACCCAACCCUUUCUUCUUUUUUUUUCUUCUCUCUUUUCUCUUCCUUCAGUUAUUUAAAGCUUUUUCUUUUAAGCUGACCCUAAAAAUGGCAGACACUACCAUCACCACCAUUAGUGUUUUAGCUUAAUAAAAAGACUAGUAAAUGACAAACCACCCCAUUAAUAAAUAAACUGUUCCUGAAAUUACCAACAAAGAAUAAAAACUUUCAAAAAUCAAAGACAAAACGAUAUUUCGUUGUUUUUGCUCACUUUGAAACAAUGUAAGUUGUUUACAGGUGUCGACUUCUUACACAAUAAAUAUAUCACACACAAAAAAGGGUAUGUUUUGAUUUUUAUUUUUCCCUCUUUUUCUUUUCCUUGCUCUUCACUGAUUGAAGUCAAGAUAAUAGCCCACAACUUAAAAAUCCAAAACCAGACUAACAGAUCUGCAAUUCACUGCUUCUUAUGAAGAAAGCUUCAGCUCUAAACAGAUCUGUUACCUGCAAAAAAGAGGGAAACAAAAGAGUUCUUGAGAUAUCAUGAUUAGCUUCUCAAUUAACUUUGAUCAAAGUCCUAAAAAAGCUACAACCUUUAAUACUUGUUAU
rnacentral:lncRNA from 1 species